UUGAAAGAUUAGGCACUACCCUCC
rnacentral:piRNA from 1 species